rnacentral:rRNA from 1 species
UACGAAGGGGGCUAGCGUUGCUCGGAAUUACUGGGCGUAAAGCGCACGUAGGCGGCUUUCUAAGUCGGGGGUGAAAUCCUGGAGCUCAACUCCAGAACUGCCUUCGAUACUGGAGAGCUUGAGUGCGGGAGAGGUGAGUGGAACUGCGAGUGUAGAGGUGAAAUUCGUAGAUAUUCGCAAGAACACCAGUGGCGAAGGCGGCUCACUGGCCCGGUACUGACGCUGAGGUGCGAAAGCGUGGGGAGCAAACAGG